GACGAACGCUGGCGACGUGCCUAAUACAUGCAAGUCGAACGAACUCUGGUAAUGAUUGGUGCUUGCAUCAUGAAUUACAUUUGAGUGAGUGGCGAACUGGUGAGUAACACGUGGGAAACCUGCCCAGAAGCGGGGGAUAACACCUGGAAACAGAUGCUAAUACCGCAUAACAACUUGGACCGCAUGGUCCGAGUUUGAAAGAUGGCUUCGGCUGUCACUUUUGGAUGGUCCCGCGGCGUAUUAGCUAGAUGGUGAGGUAACGGCUCACCAUGGCAAUGAUACGUAGCCGACCUGGGAGGGUAAUCGGCCACAUUGGGACUGAGACACGGCCCAAACUCCUACGGGAGGCAGCAGUAGGGAAUCUUCCACAAUGGACGAAAGUCUGAUGGAGCAACGCCGCGUGAGUGAAGAAGGGUUUCGGCUCGUAAAACUCUGUUGUUAAAGAAGAACAUAUCUGAGAGUAACUGUUCAGGUAUUGACGGUAUUUAACCAGAAAGCCACGGCUAACUACGUGCCAGCCGCCGCGGUAA
rnacentral:rRNA from 1 species